AUGCGGCGGGAUUUCGAGGAGAUCUCCGACGACGAGUGGUCGAACCACACCUUCAAGCCCUCCCGGGUCCUCAAGCGCCCCCACCGGAGCCCCCAGCCGCCCGCGCGGCCUCCCCCUCCCAUCGAUUCGUUCCGCUACGACCCCAAGGCUUCCUCCGCCGUCGGCACCAGCAACGGCGCCGCCGUCGUCCUCUCCGACGACGACGACGACGACGACGACUUCGACCUGGGGAAAAGCGUCAAGGCGCGCCGCGCCGAGGAUAGCUCGCGCGUGCUCAAGCGUCCCCAGCACAAAAGCCCGCCUAGGCGGGCCACGCCGUCCACCCAAUCCUCCCGGCACAACCCUAAACCCUCCAAGGCCGCCAUCGUCGCGGCGCUCUCCGACGACGACUUCGAACCCGAAGACGAAUUCGACCCCGAAGACGACGAUUUCGACCUCCCUGCUUCGAGGAGAUCGCGGCCGCGCCCUUCCACUGGCCGACGGCUGGCAACCGCCACCAUUGAUCUCUCCGAGGAAGAGGAAGAUUUAGACCUCACAUUUGAGGACUCCGACCUCGCCGAUGAUGACUCUGAUCUCGCAGAUGAUGAUUCCGACCACCCUGCUCCGAGGUCAUCACGGCCGCGCCGCACCACUGGUCGCCGAUUCGUGAUCGAGGACGAUGAUGACAGUGAUGGCUCCGUGGCUGCUGGUGUGGUGGAGGUAGGAGAUGAAGAAGAGGAUGAUGGGGUGAACUGGUCGGAGUUGGAGAACGAGGAUGAUGAAGAUGGGGACUACAAUGGGCAGAGUAGUGUGAAGGCAGAUGAGGUGGAAGGGGAUGUGGUGGGGAAGGCAUUGCGCAGGUGCUCACGGAUUUCGGUUGAUCUGAGGCAGGAGCUGUAUGGUUCUUCAGCACGGAAUUGCGAAAGCUAUGCUGAGACAGAUGCCUCCACCGUCCGGAUUGUCACUCAGGAAGAUGUGGAUGCAGCAUGCACAAGCGAGGACAUGGAAUUCAACCCGGUGCUGAAACCAUACCAGCUUGUGGGGGUCAAUUUCCUUCUACUGUUGCAUCAGAAAGGCAUCGGCGGAGCAAUUUUGGCUGAUGAAAUGGGUCUCGGCAAGACAGUCCAGGCUGUGACUUACCUUAAUCUCUUGCAACAUCUAUAUGAUGACCCGGGUCCACACCUGAUAGUUUGCCCAGCUUCAGUGUUGGAAAAUUGGGAAAGGGAACUUAAGAAGUGGUGUCCUUCGUUUUCGAUCAUCAUGUUUCAUGGUGCUGGAAGGACUGCCUUCUCAAAGGAGUUAAGUUCCUUAGGCAAAGCAGGAUGUCCAGCUCCAUUUAAUGUCCUACUUGUUGGCUACUCGCUCUUCGAAAGACGGAGUGCUCAACAAAAGGAUGACCGCAAGGCACUCAAAAGAUGGAAAUGGAGUUGUGUAUUGAUGGACGAAGCACACGUGCUGAAAGAUAAGGGCAGCUUCCGAUGGAAAAACCUUAUGGCUGUUGCACAACAUGCUCAUCAGCGGCUAAUGCUGACGGGAACUCCACUUCAAAAUGAUUUGCAUGAGCUAUGGUCAUUGUUGGAGUUAAUGAUGCCUGAUAUAUUUGCCACAGGAGAAGUUGAUCUCAAGAAGCUAUUGAAUUCAGAAGACCAUGAGUUAAUUUCACGUAUAAAGUCCAUUUUAGGGCCAUUCAUCCUUAGGCGCUUGAAGUCGGAUGUUAUGCAGCAACUUGUCCCGAAGACACAACAUGUUAACUUUGUCUCCAUGGGAUCAGAGCAGCUUAAAGCUUAUAAUGGAGCCGCAAAUGAGUACCGUGCCAUUUGUGAGGCUCGUACUGCAAAGUCUUCCGGCCAAUAUCCUCAAAAUGUUGUUGGAUUAAUUCCAAAGCGUCAAAUAUCGAACUAUUUUAUGCAGUUGCGUAAGGGUUUUUCAUUGCUCCCACAGAUUGCCAAUCACCCUUUGCUUAUAAGGCGCAUUUACAGUGACAAAGAUGUCGAUCGAAUAGCAAGGUUGACGUAUCCUAAAGGCGCAUUUGGCUUUGAAUGUUCCUUCGACAGAGCAAUCCAAGCGCUAAAGAACUACAAUGAUUUUGCUAUCCACCAACUGUUGAUUACACAUGGUGAUGCUGGUACAAAGGGUGCCCUAAAAGACGAGCAUGUAUUUGCAUCAGCGAAAUGUCAGGCCUUAGCAGAGCUUCUACCGUCUUUAACAAAUAAUGGUCACCGAGUUCUUAUAUUCAGCCAGUGGACCACAAUGCUUGAUAUCCUUGAAUGGGCACUGGAAGUAAUAGGAAUUACAUAUAGGCGUCUCGAUGGAGGCACCCCAGUAAUAGAAAGGCAGACUAUAGUGGACACUUUCAACAAUGAUCUUUCGAUAAAUGCAUGUUUGCUUUCAACUAGAGCUGGAGGUCAGGGGCUGAAUCUAAUAGGAGCUGAUACAGUCAUAAUACACGACAUGGAUUUUAACCCUCAGAUGGACCGGCAAGCUGAAGAUCGUUGCCAUCGCAUUGGACAGCAGAAACCUGUCACUAUCUAUAGGUUAGUGACAAAGGAAUCAGUUGAUGAAAGCAUAUAUGCAAUUGCAAGGAGAAAGCUAGUACUAGAUGCUGCUGUUCUUCAGUCUGGAGCAGACUUAGAUGAUAGAACUGAUGUACCUGAGCAGACAAUGGGAGAGAUUCUGGCAUCUCUUCUUCUGGUGUGA
rnacentral:rRNA from 1 species